rnacentral:rRNA from 1 species
UACGAAGGGUGCAAGCGUUACUCGGAAUUACUGGGCGUAAAGCGUGCGUAGGUGGUUUGUUAAGUCUGUUGUGAAAGCCCCGGGCUCAACCUGGGAAUGGCAAUGGAUACUGGCAAGCUAGAGUGCGGUAGAGGGUAGUGGAAUUCCCGGUGUAGCGGUGAAAUGCGUAGAGAUCGGGAGGAACACCAGUGGCGAAGGCGGCUACCUGGACCGAGCACUGAGCACUGAGGCACGAA